AGGAAGAACAACCCCAGUGGCAGCAGCCAGCUCUGGAAACCUGGAUUCAGCUCCCGCAGUAACUCCUGAGCUCUCCGUCUGCAGGGCCUGGAGGCUCCGGGGCGGG
rfam:Canis lupus familiaris chromosome X, whole genome shotgun sequence.